rnacentral:rRNA from 1 species
GAUGAACGCUGGCGGCGUGCCUCAAACAUGCAAGUCGAGCGGGGCUAUGUAAUAUCGCAAGGUAGAACAUAGCCUAGCGGCGAACGGGUGAGUAACACGUGGGUAACCUGCCUGGAAGACAGGGAUAACGAUUCGAAAGGGUCGCUAAUACCUGAUAAUAUCCUUUCAUCGCAUGGUGAUAGGAAGAAAGGGGAAACCCGCUUUCAGAUGGGCCCGCGUCCCAUCAGCUAGUUGGUAAGGUAAAGGCUUACCAAGGCGACGACGGGUAGCCGGUCUGAGAGGAUGUACGGCCACACUGGGACUGAGAUACGGCCCAGACUCCUACGGGAGGCAGCAGUUGGGAAUCUUAGGCAAUGGACGAAAGUCUGACCUAGCGACGCCGCGUGAGGGAAGAAGGCCUCGGUUGUAACUCUGUCAUGGGGAAGGAAGUAAGUAGACGGUACCCGAACGAGGAAGCCCCUCGCUAACUACGUG